rnacentral:rRNA from 1 species
UCUGCUCAAUGAUUUUUUAAAUUGGUGUGGUAUUUUGACUMUACAAAGGUAUUGAAAUAAGACUUUAAUUGAGUGSUAAGWGAAUGGAAAWACAGAAAAAUUCUUUAWUGAAWUCAAAAAUUGAAGUUAUUUUYAUAUGUGAAGAAACAAUACWGAAAAUUCUUGACAAGAAGACCCUAAGAAUWUUUUUAAUUUAAUUAAAAAAUUUUUUAAUUAAAUUMWUUAAGKGGGGSGAUUAAUAAAAAUWAAAAACUUUGUUWUUUUAAAAAAGAACCAAUAAUAUUGGAAAUAUGAUAAAAAUACUYUAGGGAUACCAGGGUAAUAACUUURGUUAGUUCUUAUGGACAAAGUAGUUUGCGACCUGGAUGKGGAUUAGGAUACUUURGGAGGAGUAAAAGAGUUACUWUACCACCACCGGCACKACUACUCUAGKAUAGCUGACA